CUGAACAACUUCAUUAAGCUAAAGUUGUUCAGGUGACUAUAGUGUCCCUUUAAGUAAAAAGCACUUCUAUGGCAAUAACCUGUCGACCCUGGUUACUUAAGAAGGUUAGUACAAUUUUGUUGUAGACAUGGCCAACUAUCUGCACCUGAGAAGAGCGCUGUAUAUGAGGUUUAGGCAACCUCUUUAAAUUGGUGGAUUUCAAAUUGUGCAUACAGUGAUGGUAGUAAUGCAUGAAGUGAUGUCAUAAAAGAAAAUAUCCCUGACAUAAACAGUAAAUGUUCAGUGUCACAGUCAUUUGCUGGCACUAGCUUACCUGGGUACUAAGGUAUUUAAAGGGACACUCCACUACCCAAAUAUAAAAUAAAUUAAAAGCACUGUUUAGCAGAUAUACCCCAAAUGAAAACUUGCAUGUAUUUAAUUAUGCAUUUUUUUUUAUUGGAGUUAUAUCUAAAAACAGCUUGCAAAACAUGCAGAUCUCUUGUCUGCUGCCUCUGCAAGCCCUCCCCUUCUAACCCCGCCCAGACUUUCUGUGGCUGUCCAAUCACAGACUUCCUAAUGCAGCUCAGUGAGAAGUCUUUGCAAAGCAGGUGCUAUGGGCAAUUGCUGCCUCUUGAGUUCAGUGCAAAUAAGCUAACCAAACCAAGACCUCUUGUCUGCUUGAAAGGCCAGGGGUUGUAACCAGCUUAAUUUAUAAAAGUUUCAAUUUCUCCUAAAAUCUGCACUUUUUCCAAAAUGAAAGAAAUAGGGCAAACUCUUCACACAUAAAGCAUUUUAGAAAGCUAAAGUGCU